rnacentral:rRNA from 1 species
AGAGUUUGAUCAUGGCUCAGGACGAACGCUGGCGGCGUGCUUAACACAUGCAAGUCGAACGAUGAAGCCUAGCUUGCUAGGUGGAUUAGUGGCGAACGGGUGAGUAAUACGUGAGUGACCUACCUUUGACUCUGGGAUAAGCCUGGGAAACUGGGUCUAAUACCGGAUACGACCAAUCUCCGCAUGGGGUGUUGGUGGAAAGCGUUAUGGAGUGGUUUUAGAUGGGCUCACGGCCUAUCAGCUUGUUGGUGAGGUAAUGGCUUACCAAGGCGACGACGGGUAGCCGGCCUGAGAGGGUGACCGGCCACACUGGGACUGAGACACGGCCCAGACUCCUACGGGAGGCAGCAGUGGGGAAUAUCGCACAAUGGGCGCAAGCCUGAUGCAGCGACGCCGCGUGAGGGAUGACGGCCUUCGGGUUGUAAACCUCUGUUAGCAUCGAAGAAGCGAAAGUGACGGUAGGUGCAGAGAAAGCGCCGGCUAACUACGUGCCAGCAGCCGCGGUAAUACGUAGGGCGCGAGCGUUGUCCGGAAUUAUUGGGCGUAAAGAGCUUGUAGGCGGUUGGUCGCGUCUGCUGUGAAAGGCUGGGGCUUAACCCUGGUUUUGCAGUGGGUACGGGCUAACUAGAGUGCAGUAGGGGAGACUGGAAUUCCUGGUGUAGCGGUGGAAUGCGCAGAUAUCAGGAGGAACACCGAUGGCGAAGGCAGGUCUCUGGGCUGUAACUGACGCUGAGAAGCGAAAGCAUGGGGAGCGAACAGGAUUAGAUACCCUGGUAGUCCAUGCCGUAAACGUUGGGCACUAGGUGUGGGGGACAUUCCACGUUUUCCGCGCCGUAGCUAACGCAUUAAGUGCCCCGCCUGGGGAGUACGGCCGCAAGGCUAAAACCCAAAGAAAUUGACGGGGGCGCGCACAAGCGGCGGAGCAUGCGGAUUAAUUCGAUGCAACGCGAAGAACCUUACCAAGGCUUGACAUAUACUGGACUGCGUCAGAGAUGGCGUUUCCUUCGGGGCUGGUAUACAGGUGGUGCAUGGUUGUCGUCAGCUCGUGUCGUGAGAUGUUGGGUUAAGUCCCGCAACGAGCGCAACCCUCGUUCUAUGUUGCCAGCACGUGAUGGUGGGGACUCAUAGGAGACUGCCGGGGUCAACUCGGAGGAAGGUGGGGAUGACGUCAAAUCAUCAUGCCCCUUAUGUCUUGGGCUUCACGCAUGCUACAAUGGCCGGUACAGAGGGUUGCGAUACUGUGAGGUGGAGCUAAUCCCUAAAAGCCGGUCUCAGUUCGGAUUGGGGUCUGCAACUCGACCCCAUGAAGUCGGAGUCGCUAGUAAUCGCAGAUCAGCAACGCUGCGGUGAAUACGUUCCCGGGCCUUGUACACACC